CUGGCUCAGGAUGAACGCUAGCGACAGGCUAACACAUGCAAGUCGAGGGCAGCAUAAAAGUAGCAAUACUUGGUGGCGACCGGCGCACGGGUGAGUAACGCGUAUGCAACCUACCUAUCAGAGGGGAAUAACCCGGCGAAAGUCGGACUAAUACCGCAUAAAACAGGGGCACCGCAUGGUGAUAUUUGUUAAAGAAAUUCGCUGAUAGAUGGGCAUGCGUUCCAUUAGGUAGUUGGUGAGGUAACGGCUCACCAAGCCGACGAUGGAUAGGGAACUGAGAGGUUGGUCCCCCACACUGGUACUGAGACACGGACCAGACUCCUACGGGAGGCAGCAGUGAGGAAUAUUGGUCAAUGGGCGGGAGCCUGAACCAGCCAAGUCGCGUGAAGGAAGAAGGAUCUAUGGUUCGUAAACUUCUUUUGCAGGGGAAUAAAGUGCAGGACGUGUCCUGUUUUGUAUGUACCCUGAGAAUAAGGAUCGGCUAACUCCGUGCCAGCCGCCGC
rnacentral:rRNA from 1 species